rnacentral:rRNA from 1 species
CAGCCGCCGCGGGAAUACGGAGGGAGCUAGCGUUAUUCGGAAUUACUGGGCGUAAAGCGCACGUAGGCGGCUUUGUAAGUAAGAGGUGAAAGCCCGGGGCUCAACCCCGGAAUUGCCUUUUAGACUGCAUCGCUUGAAUCAUGGAGAGGUCAGUGGAAUUCCGAGUGUAGAGGUGAAAUUCGUAGAUAUUCGGAAGAACACCAGUGGCGAAGGCGGCUGACUGGACAUGUAUUGACGCUGAGGUGCGAAAGCGUAGGGAGCAAACAGGAUUAGAGACCCCCGUAGUCCCUGUCUCUUAUAC